CACACGGAAAGGCAGGGAGGCUCUGCCUGACCCCACCGCCUCCUCCACCCUCCGGUUUGAUUUGCAUUUGAGAACGGGACUCAGACCCCGCUGGCUGCCGGGACUCCUGCCGGAGACAGGCUCAGGGCAUCUGCAGUUCUCAGUGUGGGAAACGCUGCCUGGGUCCUUCCCCUGCACCCACAGAAAGUGCCCAAGGUGCCCCGGGCACCAGCUCGCCCGCUUGUGCAGGGAGGGCUGGGCCGGAAGUUAGAGGCGAACACUGCAGGAUAAUGGGUGAUUGGACCAUGUUAUUCUUACUUCUAGCAACAGUGAAAAUAAUUCUGAAGCAAAGCAAGCAGAAGACAGAGUUAAUAGCAGGAAUAUCUGUCCAGGCCCUAGGAAGGCUCCGAUCCCAACUUUCCCCAUUACGUGGGUGGUAACGUGAGACACGGCAGCAGUGGGAUUGAGGCCGGGGCCCAACACUGAGAUACAUUCCUGUUCGUUUUUAAAAAGCUUGCGAUGCAGGUUCUGGCUAAGUCACUAAAUUGCCCUAGCUGGGCUAGAACUCGAGAUCCUUCUGCUGCAGCCUCCCAGAGCACAAGAUUACAGCCAUUUGGGAUGCUUCUGACAUCUGUGGAGACCACAGUGCUGCAGCGAUGGUCUUGUCCGUUUGUCCUUCGUACUCACGCCGGCCCCUCUGCAGCUGGUUCCUUGGCGUGGAAGUGCGGGGCCCAGCAGAUGCGCUUGGAUCUGUGGUGCGGAUACCCGAGGCUCCCUGGCUCACCAGGGCCUCCUCCAAUGGAUGCAGUGCCAAGGACGGGUACAGAGGAGGCCGGAGGGCUGCUG
rnacentral:lncRNA from 1 species